rnacentral:sRNA from 1 species
GCUGGGUGUGGUGGUGCAUACCUGUAAUUCCAGCAAUUUGAGAGGCAGAGGCAGGAGGAUUGCAAGUUUGAGGCCAGCCUUGGCAAUUUAGCAAGAUCUUGUUUCAA